GUGGGGAAUAUUGCCCAAUGGGGGCAACCCUGACGCAGCCAUGCCGCGUGAAUGAAGAAGGCCUUCGGGUUGUAAAGUUCUUUCGGUAGCGAGGAAGGCAUUUAGUUUAAUAAACUAGGUGAUUGACGUUAACUACAGAAGAAGCACCGGCUAACUCCGUGCCAGCAGCCGCGGUAAUACGGAGGGUGCGAGCGUUAAUCGGAAUAACUGGGCGUAAAGGGCACGCAGGCGGUGACUUAAGUGAGGUGUGAAAGCCCCGGGCUUAACCUGGGAAUUGCAUUUCAUACUGGGUCGCUAGAGUACUUUAGGGAGGGGUAGAAUUCCACGUGUAGCGGUGAAAUGCGUAGAGAUGUGGAGGAAUACCGAAGGCGAAGGCAGCCCCUUGGGAAUGUACUGACGCUCAUGUGCGAAAGCGUGGGGAGCAAACAGGAUUAGAUACCCUGGUAGUCCACGCUGUAAACGAUGUCGAUUUGGGGGUUGAGCUUUGAGCUUGGCGCCCGUAGCUAACGUGAUAAAUCGACCGCCUGGGGAGUACGGCCGCAAGGUUA
rnacentral:rRNA from 1 species